AACGAACGCUGGCGGCGCGUCUUAAGCAUGCAAGUCGAACGGCAAGAGAGGAGCUUGCUUCUCUCCUAGAGGGGCGGAGUGGUGAGGAACACGUGGGUAAUCGACCCUUAAGAUUGGGAUGGGUGCUCGAAAGAACAGGUAAUACCGUAUACCAUCGGCCUAUCGCGAGAGAGGAUGAGGAAAGGAAGCUUCGGGCUCGCGUGAGGGUGAGCUUGCGUCCCAUUAGCUAGCUGGUGAGGUAAAGGCCCACCAAGGCGACGAUAGGUAGCCGGACUGAGAGGGUGAUCGGCCACAUUGGAACUGAGACACGGCCCAAACUCCUACGGGAGGCAGCAGUUGAGAAUAUUGCGCAAUGGACGCAAGUCUGACGGAGCGAUGCCGCGUGGAUGAAGAAGGCCUACGAGUUGUAAAAUCCUUUUGUUGAUGAAGAAUAGGGGCGGGAGAGAAUGCCCAUGUGCUGACGGUACUCGACGAAUAAGCCCCGGCUAACUACGUG
rnacentral:rRNA from 1 species